CGGCAUCCACGAUUACAGUAAAUUACAGAGCUUACCAAAAGGAAGAGGGCUGCAGCCGCAAAUCUCCAGCAGCACAGAGCCUCCUCAUCUCUCUACAGCAGCCGAUCAGUCUACUCAAGUAUCAGAUCCUUCUCUCUUGAUUCGUCGUUCAUCCCAUACCAAGUUUCCAAUAUAGCGUUUUGUCUCUUGUGAGUCUUUUUCCAGAAAUCAUCGUGUCACUUCUCUUUUGUCUAUCAAAGAACCGCAGAAGCAUAAACUAAAAAGUGUUGGCAGGAGGCAAUGCAGGAAUCAAUUGAAGCAUUACAGAAAAACAAGACCUGGGAGUUGGGGAAAUUAGCCUCAAGUUGUUGGAUGCAAAUGGCUUUCCAAGGUCAAGCAUAAGGCAAAUGGAACGAUAGAGAGGUUCAAAGCGCGUCUGGUAGCCAAGCCGGAAGGGGGGGGGGGGUAGACUAUGAGGAAACGUUUGCUCCGAUUGCUAAAAUUAUGAAUGUAAGAUGCAUUCUGUCCAUAGCAUCGGAUGAGAACUUUUUCAGUUAGAUGUUCAAAAUGCCUUCCUUCAUGACAAGAAGACGUGUAUAAAGAAAACCAAGUUCCGAAAGACUGACUUUACUCAUCUUCGGAAUCCAGCCACGAAAAAGCAAGAAAAGAAUACCAAUUAACUCAACUAGUGAGAUCUAAAUCUUGGCCAAAAGAAAGGGAUGUAUGUCUUCGUGUUCCACCCAGCCAUGAUGCAUGACAGGAGAGAGCGAGCACAAGAAAGAAAGGGGCCGAGCCGGAUAAGUGGAAGAAUGAGUUUCAUAUCAUAUUAAGAAGCGUCAAUUUUCUUAAUACCCGAACUGCCCUGUUUCCC
rnacentral:lncRNA from 1 species